rnacentral:rRNA from 1 species
UAGGGAAUCUUCCACAAUGGACGCAAGUCUGAUGGAGCAACGCCGCGUGAGUGAAGAAGGUUUUCGGACCGUAAAACUCUGUUGUUGGUGAAGAAGGAUAGAGGUAGUAACUGGCCUUUAUUUGACGGUAAUCAACCAGAAAGUCACGGCUAACUACGUGCCAGCAGCCGCGGUAAUCGUAGGUGGCAAGCGUUGUCCGGAUUUAUUGGGCGUAAAGCGAGCGCAGGCGGAAGAAUAAGUCUGAUGUGAAAGCCCUCGGCUUAACCGAGGAAUUGCAUCGGAAACUGUUUUUCUUGAGUGCAGAAGAGGAGAGUAGAACUCCAUGUGUAGCGGUGGAAUGCGUAGAUAUAUGGAAGAAUACCGGUGGCGAAGGCGGCUCUCUGGUCUGCAACUGACGCUGAGGCUCGAAAGCAUGGGUAGCGAACAGGAUUAGAUACCCUGGUAGUCCAUGCCGUAAACGAUGAGUGCUAAGUGUUGGGAGGCUUCCGCCUCUCAGUGCUGCAGCUAACGCAUUAAGCACUCCGCCUGGGGGAGUACGACCGCAAGGUUGAAAC